rnacentral:rRNA from 1 species
UACGUAGGGUGCGAGCGUUGUCCGGAAUUAUUGGGCGUAAAGAGCUCGUAGGCGGUCUGUCGCGUCGAUCGUGAAAACUUGGGGCUUAACCCUGAGCUUGCGGUCGAUACGGGCAUGACUGGAGUUCGGCAGGGGAGACUGAAAUUCCUGGUGUAGCGGUGAAAUGCGCAGAUAUCAGGAGGAACAUCAGUGGCGAAGGCGGCUGCCUGGCCCAAUACUGACACUCAGGUGCGACAGCGUGGGGAGCAAACAGG